AUUUAGGUAGUUUAAUAAAAAAAUGUUGAUUUGUGGAAUCAAAGAUGUAGUAGUAUCCUAGAUA
rnacentral:tRNA from 1 species